UACGUAGGCGGCCUAUUAAGUCAGGUGUGAAAGCGUGAGGCUUAACCUCAUUAAGCACUUGAAACUGGAAGGCUUGAGUGAAGGAGAGGAAAGUGGAAUUCCUAGUGUAGCGGUGAGAUGCGUAGAUAUAGGAGGAAUACCGGUGGCGAAGGCGACUUUCUGGACUUUUACUGACGCUCAGGUACGAAAGCGUGGGGAGCAAACA
rnacentral:rRNA from 1 species